UACGUAGGGUCCAAGCGUUGUUCGGAUUUACUGGGCGUAAAGGGCGCGUAGGCGGUUUGUCAAGUCAGUUGUGAAAUCUCCGAGCUUAACUCGGAACGGUCAGCUGAUACUGUCAAACUAGAGUUCAGAAGGGGCAAUCGGAAUUCUUGGUGUAGCGGUGAAAUGCGUAGAUAUCAAGAAGAACACCUGAGGUGAAGACGGGUUGCUGGGCUGAUACUGACGCUGAGGCGCGAAAGCUAGGGUAGCAAACGGG
rnacentral:rRNA from 1 species